rnacentral:rRNA from 1 species
CAGUCGCCACGGGAAUACAGAGGGUGCGAGCGUUAAUCGGAUUUACUGGGCGUAAAGCGUGCGUAGGCGGCUAAUUGAGUCGGAUGUGAAAUCCCCGAGCUUAACUUGGGAAUUGCAUUCGAUACUGGUUAGCUAGAGUGUGGGAGAGGAUGGUAGAAUUCCAGGUGUAGCGGUGAAAUGCGUAGAGAUCUAGAGGAAUACCGAUGGCGAAGGCAGCCAUCUGGCCUAACACUGACGCUGAGGUACGAAAGCAUGGGGAGCAAACAGGAUUAGAUACCCCUGUAGUCCCUGUCUCUUAUAC